rnacentral:rRNA from 1 species
AUUGAACGCUGGCGGCAUGCCUUACACAUGCAAGUCGAACGGCAGCGGGGAGAAGCUUGCUUUUCCUGCCGGCGAGUGGCGAACGGGUGAGUAAUACAUCGGAACGUGCCCUGUAGUGGGGGAUAACUAGUCGAAAGAUUAGCUAAUACCGCAUACGCCCUGAGGGUGAAAGUGGGGGACCGCAAGGCCUCAUGCUAUAGGAGCGGCCGAUGUCUGAUUAGCUAGUUGGUGGGGUAAAGGCCUACCAAGGCGACGAUCAGUAGCUGGUUUGAGAGGACGAUCAGCCACACUGGGAAUGAGACACGGCCCAGACUCCUACGGGAGGCAGCAGUGGGGAAUUUUGGACAAUGGGCGAAAGCCUGAUCCAGCAAUGCCGCGUGUGUGAAGAAGGCCUUCGGGUUGUAAAGCACUUUUGUCCGGAAAGAAAUGGCUCUGGUUAAUACCUGGGGUCGAUGACGGUACCGGAAGAAUAAGGACCGGCUAACUACGUGCCAGCCGCCGCGGUAA